AACGAACGCUGGCGGCACGCUUCAUACAUGCAAGUCGCGCGAUUAAGGCCCGCAAGGGCGCAUAAAGCGGCGAACGGGUGCGUAACACGUGGAUAAUCUGCCUUUCGGUGGGGGAUAACGGCUGGAAACGGCCGCUAAUACCGCAUGUGGUUGCGAGGUCUUCGGGCCUUGCAAAGAAAGAGGCCUUUAAAGCCUUGCCGAGAGAUGAGUCCGCGCCCCAUUAGCUAGUUGGCGGGAUAACAGCCCACCAAGGCUUCGAUGGGUAGCCGGGCUGAGAGGUUGAUCGGCCACACUGGGACUGAGACACGGCCCAGACACCUACGGGUGGCAGCAGUAGGGAAUAUUGGACAAUGGGGGAAACCCUGAUCCAGCGAUGCCGCGUGAAUGAUGAAGGCCUUCGGGUCGUAAAGUUCUUUUCUGAGGGAAGAACUGUUGGGCGAGGAAAUGCGCCUGAUUUGACGGUACCUCAGGAAUAAGCAACGGCUAACUCCGUGCCAGCAGCCGCGGUAAUACGGAGGUUGCAAGCGUUGUUSGRAAUAACUGGGCGUAAAGGGAGCGCAGGCGGCNUUGGUNAAGUCUAAAGUGAAAUUNCCAGGGCUCAACCCUGGACAUGCUUUGGAUACUGNCCUGGCUUGAGUACGUGAGAGGAGAUUGGAAUUNCCAGGUGUAGCGGUGAAAUGCGUAGAUAUCUGGAGGAACACCGGUGGCGAAAGCGGAUCUCUGGCACGUUACUGACGCUGAGGCUCGAAAGCAUGGGGAGCAAACGGGAUUAGAUACCCCGGUAGUCCAUGCCGUAAACGUUGUGCGCUAGGUGUAGGAGGUAUCGACCCCUUCUGUGCCGCAGCUAACGCAUUAAGCGCANCCGCCUGGGGAGUACGGUCGCAAGACUGAAACUCAAAGGAANUUGACGGGGGCCCGCACAAGCGGUNGAGCAUGUGGUUUAANUUCGAGGCAACGCGAAGAACCUUACCCAGGCUUGACAUCCCAAGACCGCCUAUGAAAGUAGGUUUUCCCUUCGGGGACUUGGAGACAGGUGUUGCAUGGCUGUCGUCAGCUCGUGUCGUGAGAUGUUGGGUUAAGUCCCGCAACGAGCGCAACCCUUGUCCUUAGUUACCAGCGGGUUAUGCCGGGCACUCUGAGGAGACUGCCGAUGAUAAGUCGGAGGAAGGUGGGGACGACGUCAAGUCAUCACGGCCCUUACGCCUGGGGCUACACACGUGCUACAAUGGUCGGUACAGAGGGACGCAAGAUCGCGAGAUGGAGCCAAUCCCAAAAAGCCGGCCUCAGUUCGGAUUGCAGUCUGCAACUCGACUGCAUGAAGUCGGAAUCGCUAGUAAUCGUGGGUCAGCUACACCACGGUGAAUACGUUCCCGGGCCUUGUACACACCGCCCGUCACAUGACCCGAGUUGGGUGCACCCAAAGCCACUGGCUCAACCAGCAAUGGGGAGAGGUGUCUAAGGUGUGUCUGGUGAGGGGGAUG
rnacentral:rRNA from 1 species